UACAGAGGGUGCAAGCGUUGUUCGGAAUUAUUGGGCGUAAAGCGCGUGUAGGCGGUGAGGUAUGUCGGGUGUGAAAGCCCUCAGCUUAACUGAGGAAGUGCGCCCGAAACUACCUCGCUGGAGUGCCGGAGAGGAAGGCGGAAUUCCCAGUGUAGAGGUGAAAUUCGUAGAUAUUGGGAGGAACACCAGUGGCGAAAGGGCGGCCCAUUCUGGACGGACACGUG
rnacentral:rRNA from 1 species